CGUGGGCGCUGGAGAACUGAGGGGGGCUGCUCCUAGUACGAGAGGACCGGAGUGGACGCAUCACUGGUGUUCGGGUUGUCAUGCCAAUGGCACUGCCCGGUAGCUAAAUGCGGAAGAGAUAAGUGCUGAAAGCAUCUAAGCACGAAACUUGCCCCGAGAUGAGUUCUCCCUGACUCCUUGAGAGUCCUGAAGGAACGUUGAAGACGACGACGUUGAUAGGCCGGGUGUGUAAGCGCAGCGAUGCGUUGAGCUAACCGGUACUAAUGAACCGUGAGGCUUAACCUUACAACGCCGAAGGUGUUU
rnacentral:rRNA from 1 species